rnacentral:rRNA from 1 species
UACGUAGGGGCCGAGCGUUGUCCGGAUUCAUUGGGCGUAAAGAGCGUGUAGGUGGCUCGUUGCGUCGGGAGUGAAAACCUGCGGCUUAACCGCAGGCCUGCUUCCGAUACGGGCGAGCUAGAGUUCGGCAGGGGAGACUGGAAUUCCUGGUGUAGCGGUGGAAUGCGCAGAUAUCAGGAGGAACACCGGUGGCGAAGGCGGGUCUCUGGGCCGAUACUGACACUGAGAAGCGAAAGCGUGGGGAGCGAACAGG